GUUUUGAAAACGGUGUUGAUACAGUGGAAGGCUUGUGGUGUUGCUGGCCCUUGAUCGCUGGAAGGAUUCCGAGGUGUAGUUUUCGAAGCGGGAGUUUUGUUCGCAUUGGGCGCUUAGCGUCUGUUACUGUCGCUAACGGGAGAUUGUCAACGUGUUUGCAUUGGGCCAUUUGCAUCAGUUGGGACCGUUGUUACUGACCUCCUAGGUUGUGUGUUGCGUUUACACGCUUAAAUCCGGGUUUCACGGUCUCUUAGUACUCGCGUAUUUAAGCUCAUCGCGCGUACCUUACUUCUACGCGUUCACGUCGGUUCGUCCGGGCCUAUCAGCGCCGCUGCUUUUAAAUUGGCCGUGUGCGCUUUACGUUUGCACCUUUACGUCGGAUCACUGGGGUCCAUCAGCGCCGUAGUUUUUGAGCUGGCCGGGCGUGCUUUCGAGCGCUUAGUUGCUUUCGGUUUCACUUGGUUGCGGCGUGACGAUCAUUGAGUUAAAGGUUACUGCACUCACUUCAGUCGCCAUCGGUCUCCGUAAUCUGACUGCCCUUUGCUAUUACUUGCUUCACUCACAUACGAUAUGCGGACGGUCCUAUUUAAGUUGAGCGCCCAUACUUCACUAUCCCAAGUGGGACUGCUUUUUCAUUUACGUGUCUCUAUCCGAGGCAGUAUAAACAUCUUUCCAUUCAAGUUUACCGCAUGUGUUUCACUAUCGAGAGUCGGACUGCUUUUGGAUUUACGUGGCUUUGUGGGAUGCGGUAUGAAGAUCGUUGCAUUCAAGUUUACCGCCUCUACUUCACUGCAGAAUCUGACUGCCGUCAGAUCUGUAUGACAGAUUGUUGCAUUCGUUUUCUGCGGGUACGUCACUAUCCAGUCUACUUUUUCCAUUGACGUGGCUGAGUCAUAUGUAGUAUGACUGUCAGAGACGUUGGAACCUGAAGCGACCCCAUUUUGAGUGAGGGCUAGAAAAAUGAGGCCGGGACUUACGGGCCUGCAUUCUCAGAAGGAUAUUCCUAGCUUUCAGAUACUUACGGUUAAGGGAACAAAUUAAUGUUUACUGAAGAGACCCGAGUGUCCAGAUAGCUGGAUAUCUGGAGAACAAAGGCGUUCCUAAUUUUGCUUUAAAGGUAGUAAUAGGGAUUCUUGCAAAAUGUAAUAAUUAAAGUUAAUUAUCACAAACCCUUGUAACAGAACACCUCUCCCCAUGUGUACAAGCAUUGUACCUAGGGUGGAUACGUUCCUUCUCUUAGUUUCAGGAACGCCCUUCUCUGUCUGUGGAGUAGCUGUUCUUUCACCACUUUACUUUCUUAAUAAACUUGCUUUUAUUUUGCACCGCGGACUUGCCCUGAGUUAUUUCUUGCGCGAGACCCAAGAACCCUCUCUUUGGGUCUGGAUCGGGGCCCUUUUCCUGUGACGUAUUUCUGGCCACCACAGAUGGGACUAUAGUGCUUUGGGGAAGUGUUGGGGUCCUAUAACAUAUUUCUGGCGAAUGAUGGAAGGGACGAUACUGAAGAAACUCCCCCAACCCAAAGGAAGUAGACUGCAGCACUGCAGUAGUCAGUAGACUGACUUUGGGUAAGUGGUGGAGUGCCCGGGUAAAGAAUGGGAUUGGGUUAGAGGCCCAACUUAAUGGAGUUAGAGUCUUUCCUAAAAGAGAGUGGGUUAGAGGCCCCUCUUAAUAAAAGGCAAGGACACUUGACCGACCUCGGGUUAGAGGCCCGACCGAGGAGGGUUAGAGGCCCCUCCCAGUAAAGCCCCUCUCGGCUAAAAAACAGGUUUGACACCGCAGGCUAUGCUCUUUGUAUUAGUCUGCCUCGUCCUCCUUGUCUUGGUUGCUGUCUCCGUUUCAGUGUCAUUUUCAGGAGACUUCAUUUAACUGGUCUUAGGGAUUUUAACUGAUUCUUCUCCUAUGUCCCUCCCGAUUUCUGUCCGUUUGCUUGUGAAACACUGGGAACCAAAAGCAUUGGAGGAUCCGGCUCUAAAAUUGCUGAUUGAGAUUUGAUAUUUAACAGCUAUGAGCAGUAAGAUUCGAUAGAUGUGGUUGUGUUUUGUUGCUGCUGUGCUGAGUGUGAUUGAGAAGCACUAGGAUGGAAAUCAGGGGACUUUUCUCCUUGCUGUUUUGUUUGGUUUUGCACACUAAAAAAUCUCCUUUGUAGCUAAGUGCGGUGGCUCACACCUGUAAUCCCAGCACUUUGGGAGGCCGAGGCAGGCAGAUCACCUGAAAUCAGGAGUUCGAGACCAUCCUGGCCAACGUGUUGAAACCCCGUCUCUACUAAAAAUACAAACAUUACCCGGGUGUAGUGGCAGACAUCUGUAAUCCCAGCUUCUUGGGAUGCUGAGUCAGGAGAAUCGCUUUAAUCUAGGAGUCAGAGUUUGCAGUUAGCUGAGAUUGCACCACUGCACUCCAGCAGUCUUCUCAACAGAGCGAGACUCUGUCUCAAAAGAAAAUAAAAAAACUUUCUUUUCUUGGAUUCGGGCAAACCGUGUUUGCUUUGCUUUUCCAAUCCUCACUGCUGUUAUUGGUUACUCUGGUUGUUCCCAUCUAAAUCCUCUUCAUUUAUUUUGCCUUAUUCGACAUUUUUUUCAAAGUCCAUGUUGUGGUUUAUCUAAGAUUCAUAGCUCAGCUCACUUAUGUUAUUUGGAUAAUGUGAAUCAUGUUUGAUGAGAGGAAAAGAAGAAAAAGAUUUAGACAUACUAGGUGAUCCUUUAAUGCAAGCCCUGCUGUGGUUCAGCAGGCAUUUUUGGGUGGAGCGGAACCCCUUUCUGUCAGCUCUGAAGGUUCGUAUGUGUCAGUUCUUUCUCCCUGUAGUCCACCUGAAAGUUCUUGAGAACCCUUCGUCCCUUCUCCUUACCCAGCUAGUCCCACUCUGUACCCACCAUUCCCACAAAGAACUUAGCCCACCGAGUACUACUUAUAGUGCAGCCUGCUAUCAACCUCCAAAGGGAAAUCUUUGUCCACUUAGGUGGCAAAUCGGGAAGAGGGCACUGUGAGAGUACAUGUUCCCUUUUCUCCGUCUGGUUUGACCCUAUAUAUAGAGAAGGUUGGUCAUUUCUCUGAAGAUCCAGGAAAAUUUGUAGAUGAGUUUGAGAAAUCAACUCUGACCUAUAGUUUAACUUGGGAGGAUCUGCAUGUUUUGUUGUCUCUGUGUUGUACAGUGGAGGAGAAACAAUGCAUUUUGGGGACAGCUAGGACCCAUGCAGAUGAGGUAUUGGCUCGCAACCCGUACCAUACUAUGUAUCAGGCAGGAAGUAUAGCAGUUCCAGAUCAAGAUGCAGAGUGGAAUUAUCAAAGGCGCAGUGAGCACUUGGGGAGGAGAGAUCAUAUGGUCACUUGUUCGUUGGAAGGGAUGAAGAAAUGUAUGAAAAAGCCUGUUAUCUAUGAACAGGUUAAGGAAGAUUCUCAGGAUAAAGAUGAGAAUCCAGGUUUGUUUCAAGGGCAUUUAGUUGAAGCAAUCGGGAAGUAUAAUAUCACUGAUCCUGCCUCAAAGGAGAGACAAACCCUUUUGGGAGGACAUUUUAUGACCCAGUCUGCCCCUGAUAUCCCCAGGAAACUACAAAAAGCAGCUAUGGGAGCCGGGCGUGGUGGCUCAAGCCUGUAAUCCCAGCACUUUGGGAGGCUGAGGGGGGUGGAUCACUUGAGGUCAGGAGUUCAAGACCAGCCUGGCCAGCAUGGUGAAACCCCUUCUCUACUAAAAAUACAAAAAUUAGCUGGGGAUGGUGACAAGUGCCUGUAAUCUCACCUACUUGGGCGGCUGAGGCAGGAGAAUUGCUUGAACCCAUGAGGUGGAAGUUGCAGUGAGCCCAGAUCACGCUAUUGCACUCCAGCCUGGGUGACAGAGCGAGACUGUGUCUAAAAAAAAAAAAACAAAAACACACUAUGUGACUAUGUGUCCCUAGACUCCUAUUAAACAGCUUUUGGAUAUGGCAUUUUUAGUUUUUAAUAACGGGGACAAAGCACAGGAAGCAGAAAGAGGAGCAAGAAGGACCUCCCACAAGGUGCAGCUCUUGGCUGCAGCCUUAAGCUCACCUCCUACAUAGAGUUUCUUUCCUGGCUCUUGGAGUGAAGAAGGGAAGCUGAAAUGUGAGAAGCCCAGAGCUGGAUGUCCAAGUCAGCGUGUUUUGGGCAUGAAUCAGUGUGCACACUGUAAGGAAACUGGUCAUUGGAAGAGGGAUUGCCCAGUCUUCCUCCAAAGGGAGCUGUUAGGUCCAGGGCCGUGACUAUGACAAAUGUCAUGCUCAGGGUUAGGGUGCAGCCCAUGAUGAGGUCUGAGAGGAGUGGAUGGAUAGAUGAAUAGCUGAAAGAACAUUCGGGGCGGUGUAGACAGGUGAAAUGUAGUUUUAUUCAGCAGCUCUCUCAUCAGCAGUUCUCUCACACUAGCUCUUUUAUACUGUUCGCCUUUAUCUUGGCUGUCUGCUCUGACUCUGGACCCUCUCAGCAGCUAGCUCCCACUCACAGCUGCACAACUGGUCUGCAAGGCCAGCUCUAAGAUCAGUAGCUUAACCUUUCUCUCUGGGCACAAGCUGAGCCAUGUCCUGGCUCCCCUCUAUCCACCUGUCAGACAGUCAUUCUCCCUUACAGGGGUCAGUAGCUUCACUCUCUUUCUGAGCACCAGUGCCUGCACAAGAGCGAUGCUGAGCCAUGUUGAGUCCCCGUGCACAGUGUCAGCAGGGCAGUUAUUCCUUUUACAGACAGUAGUGGUGUAGAGCCAAGUAUGAGCUUACACAAACAGGUUAUAUAACAAGUGGAGGUGAGUGCCUGUGCAGCAGUCUCACUGAGUCAUGCAGGCCUGGAUAUCUGCCUCGGCUAUUCCUUGACCAAAGCACAUCCAUGUACCUUACAGCAGCCAUCUGCACCCAAACCAGAUGCCAAAAUAACCAGGGAAGCCCAAGAGUGACGGGGCCCAAGACCUUCCGCUACACCUCCCGUCGGACAACUAGCCAUAUCUUCUGAGAAGCCUCAGAUAACCCUUGACAUGACAGGAAAAGGACAACAACCUGUGUGGGUUCCCUCCCGACAACUGAAAUUGCACCAUAACUCCCAAGAAGAAACACUCCCAGAAACAAAAGGCAAAGACCCCUCUGAAACCAAAGAUCUGCAGAUCCCGCAAGGAAUCCGAAGACAAGUCCAAAGUCAACGACAAGCAAUGAUGGCAAUGGUGAUCCUAGUUAAUAAAAAGCGGGGAGAUGUGGGUGGCAAGCCACCCAGGUGCCGAGGCAAGAGACCGAGAGCACGAGCUGUUCCAGUGUAAUAAAAUAUAUAAAAUAACAAGAGUUAUACUGAUAUAGCUCAUAGAUAUGAUUAUAUAUAAAUACCAUUAAUCAUUAGUUUGUAGUAAUUACUCUUUAUUCAAAUAUUAUAAUAAUCCUCACUCUACAAUCAUAACCUAGAAAAAGGCAGGCCAUGCAGAGAUAGGAGCUGAGGGGACAUGGUGAGAAGUGACAAGAAGACAAGAGUGUGAGCCUUUUGUUAUGCCCAGGCAGGGCCACCAGAGGGCUCCUUGGUCUAGCAGUAAUGCCAGCGUCUGGGAAGAUGCCCGUACCAAGCGGACCAUGGUCUAGUGGUAGCGUCAGUGCCAAGGAAAAGCACCUGCUACUGAGCAGACCAGGAAAGGGAGUC
rnacentral:lncRNA from 1 species